GUGCUCAACUCAGCAGCACAUAUACUAAAAUUGGAGUGAUACAAAGAAAAUUAGCAUGGUCCCUGUAGCAAGGAUGACAUUUGAAUUAGUGAAGUGUUCCAUAUUUAA